rnacentral:rRNA from 1 species
GUUUGAUCCUGGCUCAGAUUGAACGCUGGCGGCAUGCCUUACACAUGCAAGUCGAACGGUAACGCGGGGCAACCUGGCGACGAGUGGCGAACGGGUGAGUAACGCAUCGGAACGUGCCCAGUAGUGGGGGGAUAGCCCGGCGAAAGCCGGAUUAAUACCGCAUACGACCUAAGGGUGAAAGCGGGGGAUCGCAAGACCUUGCGCUAUUGGAGCGGCCGAUGUCAGAUUAGGUAGUUGGUGGGGUAAAGGCCUACCAAGCCUGCGAUCUGUAGCUGGUCUGAGAGGGCGACCAGCCACACUGGGACUGAGACACGGCCCAGACUCCUACGGGAGGCAGCAGUGGGGAAUUUUGGACAAUGGGGGAAACCCUGAUCCAGCCAUGCCGCGUGCGGGAAGAAGGCCUCGGUGU